rnacentral:tRNA from 1 species
UUAUAAUUGGUGUAUGAUGCACAAAAAAUUUUGAUUUUUUGGGGGAUAGUUUAAUUCUAUUAUUAUAAA